UGUGGGUCUGCAGAAUUAAGUUUUCAUUGG
rnacentral:piRNA from 1 species